CAAAAACAUGUCUUUUAGAAAAUAAUUUAAAGUCUAAUCUGCCCACUGAUAUUAUAUUAAAGGGCUGCAGUAUAUUGACUGUACAAAGGUAGCAUAAUCAUUAGUCUUUUAAUUGAAGACUUGUAUGAAAGAUUUGAUGAAAUAUAAACUGUCUCUAAUUUAAAAAUAGAAAUUAAUUUUUUAGUUAAAAAGCUAAAAUUUAUUUAAAAGACGAGAAGACCCUAUAGAGUUUUACAUUAUUUUUAUUUAAGAUUAUAUGUAUAAAUAAUAAUUAAAAAUAAAAAUGAUGUUUUAUUGGGGUGAUAGAAAAAUUUAAUUAACUUUUUUUAAAAAUUAAACAUAAAUAAGUGAAAAUAUGAUCCAUAAGUUAUGAUUAUAAGAAAAAAUUACCUUAGGGAUAACAGCGUAAUAUUUUUUUUUAGUACAAAUAAAAAAAAAAGUUUGCGACCUCGAUGUUGGAUUAAGAUAAAAUUUAAAUGCAAAAGUUUAAAAUUUUGAUCUGUUCGAUCAUUAAAAUCUUACAUGAUCUGAGU
rnacentral:rRNA from 1 species